rnacentral:lncRNA from 1 species
AUUCCGUCUGGUACAUGCCCCUAAAUAAAAAAAGUGAUUACGUACAAUAAAUAUUAUUAUUUUUAUUUGAUAUUGUUGUGUGCAUUAUGUUUUCAUUUGGUUUUAGUUUCAAAUGUUGAAAUAUAUUUUGUAAGUCGCUUUGGACAAAAAGCACCUGCUAAAUAUUAACGUCAUUAACGUUGGACGGCUAACCACAUUUUUACCAUCUCAGCGUCUAAAGUAGGUUAGCUAAAACAUUUUGUGAUAUUCUUUUAACUAUUCUGGAGCCAGUGCCAAUGGAAAGCCUACUUAUAUAAUCAAGUUGGUGUGUACUCCUGUUCGAUAUAGGUCAUUUACGUGUACCGGAAAGAGUGUAGACGUGAUAAACAUCAGUUGGUGUGUAGGUGUGCAAAGAGAUUAGUGUCAGCACAAGGACAGAGAAUGGGAAACAUCAGACUCUCUGGCAAUACGAACGCAUUUAUCUGGAUGUUGCUUCUUCAUUUUUCUGCAUUGAAAAGAUCUCAUGGUUUGUCUGUGGUCUUGAUCCAGGCCCCAGGCAAAGUGGAGGUGAUGGUGGGUCAACCAGUAGUAUUGGAGUGCUCUACCAAAGGUGUCAUUUCUGACAUUGAUACCUUUUACUGUCAUGCUGUUAGCUGGCUGAAAGUACAUCCAUCAACUGGGAGGAUGGAAACCGUCACCUUUAAAAACGAUAAUCAAAAGGGUGAAACAUGUGAAGUGACAAUUACCAAUGCAACUAAGAAAGAUUCAGGCGUGUAUUAUUGUUUGGUGAAACCAGAUCAGUUUCCACUAUAUGGCAAUGGGUCCAGUGUCAUCGUUACUGACAAUGAUACUAUCUCCGUGGAACUUGUCUCAUCUUCGGACAGUGAGGGCGGCACAACUUUGUUCAUCUGCAUGGCAACGGGUGUCGUUUCAUCAGAGAUUCGCAUCUUCUGGAUUGUCGACAGCGAAGGACACGUCGGGUUUACUGAAUCCGUUUGGUCAGAGAAGGAAAUCACCCAGAGCCGGUUCAGGCUGUCAGAUUCUGCCUGGCAAGCUGGAGCCCAGUGCACAUGUGUGGUGGAGACCAGAGGGGAGAACAUCUCCAAAACCAUUCAGUGUGGCAGCAUGUGUUUGAGUUCGUGCUCAUACCUGGUCUAUGGAAUCAGCGGCUCAGUGCUCUUCGCCGUCAUCAUGGCUGUCAUCUCUGCCGUGAUUUUAUGCCAGAGCCGCCAGAUUAGCAGUAAGAGUCGGCGUGCUGAUAACAGAAGGCCAAACUCUUCUUUGUCUCCAGCACAGUUGCAUGGCAUGCAAAGGGGCAAUCGUGGAACACAUAACCUAAGAUCAUCAGAAAAGGAGGUGCAAUAUGCCAGUUUGAACCAAAUUCGUUUGGGACAGGCAUCCAGAGCAAGACUACAGUAGGUUUACAAGGAGUAAUAUCAGCCAAUGCGAAGUUCUCAAACCUUCCACCUGUCCAUCAGCCAAUCAGGGUGGGACUACAGCACGCCAAGCAGAACAUGUGACUUUUUAAAAUGUUGAUACUGAAUUGCUUCUAUAAGCUUACAGCAUUGAUCCCAGAUGAUAUAUGUGAUAUUAUUCAAGAUCUUUUUUUUCUCUUCGUUGUAAUAUCUGUAUUCUAUCAUAAUGCUUCCUUGUCUCCUUGUCUACUUUUCAGUGUUUCAUAUGGUUUAUUAUUAUUAUUAUUGUUGUUGUUGUUCUUGCAGUUGUUAUAGUAGCUGUCAGUUGGUAGUAGUAACUACUAAUACUUGCAGUUGUAUUACAAAGAAGUGGGAUCCACAGAGCAGCCAGGGUCUAAAACCCAAAGUUAGCUUAGUUUUCAAACCAUUUAGAGUUUUGCUUUGGAAACAUAGCAUAUCAACAUAUGAAGGAGGCAUCAUAGAGUACAUUCAUGAAAGUUUUCUCUAACUUCCACUUGAUAAAGAAAAUCAUUGUGGACUGUAUUGAAUAUUGAAUGGUCUAAUCCUUGUUAUUGAGGCCCUGCAGUGA